rnacentral:rRNA from 1 species
UGUGGCUAGGGGUGAAAGGCUAAUCAAACUCGGAGAUAGCUGGUUCUCUGCGAAAUCUAUUUAGGUAGAGCGUCAGACGAAUGCCCUCGGGGGUAGAGCACUGGAUGGGUGAUGGGGUCCCACAGACUUACUGAGCCUAACCAAACUCCGAAUACCGAGGAGCACUAUCUGGCAGACAGACGGCGGGUGCUAACGUCCGUCGUCGAGAGGGAAACAACCCUGACCUCCAGCUAAGGUCCCCAAGUCACGGCUAAGUGGGAAAGCAGGUGGGACGGCCAAAACAACCAGGAGGUUGGCUUAGAAGCAGCCAUCCUUUAAAGAUAGCGUAACAGCUCACUGGUCUAGAUAAGCUGUCCUGCGGCGAAGAUGUAACGGGGCUCAAGCCGUGCACCGAAGCUGAGGAUGCGUAGCGAUACGCGUGGUAGCAGAGCGUGGCG